GCUUGAAUGAACUACAUUUCUUCCUCACAGAAAAUGCAGGAGUACUUAUAUGCUUAAAAAUACUAACCCAAGCGGCACACGCAUGAUUAGCCAAGGGGGCCUGUGAGCCAAAGAAAAACUUUGUUGAGGCUUGGGGGUUUUUUCUUUCUUUUCUUUCCUUGUUACUGGUGGAAUUUUUUCUCAUUGAGUUGCUAAGAAGCACUGAGGGCUGGGUGCUCGAGACAGCUCGGAGGGGGAACUCCCGUUUUUGGGAGUUUCUCUGGGGGCGGGGAGACAGAGAUACCACGACAAGAGAGGCAGGAAAAAAUUUCAAGGGCUGGGGAGAUGGGGACUCUCAUUUGCUCUCAGCUUUCGGAGGAACACGGUGGAGCUGCUACUUGGGAAAGGAAUUUCGCUCCCACAGCUAUAUAACCCCGCCGGGAGCUGCCUUCCUUCCUUCUGCUGCCGGGCCCGCACCCCUGCCCGCCCGGACACCCGCAGUCCCAGCUAUCGCCGCGGAGUUUUUGAAUCCUUGACUGGCAGUUAUGGGAAUAAUUUUUUCUGACAACCAUUAUUAUUUGAGGUUAUUGCUUGCCAUCUUAUUUGACCAUCAAGGAGAUGCUGCAUAUCCCAUUUAGACUUCUGGUGUUUCCUUCUCUCACAACUGACACUGUCAAAGAAGACAACACAGAAAAUUCAUUCACUGGUUGAGAAGAUUGAAAUUAAUUUGCCACUUCUUUACACAGUCAAAAUAAAUAGAAUCCUUGCCAUAAACAUGUCAUUCCUUAAACUUUCCUGACAUAAUAGAUCUUCUUGGAAGUCUUGUGUUCUGACACUUAGCAGUCCAGUAAGACUGAGAACCUGAGACAUUACUUCUAGGAUUUUAUACUCUUUCAGAGAAUUUCUGGAGUCUCUCUGGGAGUAUUAGGAGGUAGCCAUUCUAGGAACACAUCUCUCUGAGGUCCAUAGGACUUUGCUUUCCCUUGCAAUAAAAAUGACAUAAUUAAUGCUCUAUACAUCAAGUGUAGAGAAUCAGAGGCUUGUCAAAGCACCCAAGUUACUGACACCUCUGCAUGUAAAAUUCCACCAGUUUGAAGUUCAAAGGAGUUUACUGUGCUUAGACAGCAGUAUAAAAUUUUGCAGCUAAAUCACCUUCCUUGUAGAGUUGGGGACCAUAUUCAACUCUUUCACCAAACAUCUUAACUAAGCUCUAUCUUCGCAUCACAGAGGAAAUGUGUCAUGGUUUAGGGAAUGGUUCUCCCCAGUUCAGUGCCCCCAGACCAUAUUCUUCUCUCUCUCUCUCCUGUUUUCCUGCCCCUCUUCCGCCUCACUAGAAACACCAAUGAGAUAAUAAAACAAACAGUAACAGCAGCAAUACUAAUGACAGAGGGUACAAGAAAGAAAAAAAAUCACAUGGCACCUGUUACCAUACCAGACAACUUCCUCUGCCAUGUUUACUUGACCAGAAUGGAAUUCCUUCUCCCCAGAAGAGAGUCCCUUCUCUGUACCCCCCAUCAAUGACACGAGGUGAUGUAGAAUAACCUCUGGAUUCUAACCAUGGCUCUUCCUGGAUACUGCAAGAAUUAACACUGUCCUGGCUAAAACCAGGACAAAAUCCAUCAGGGAAUAGACUAUACAAUGGAUGUGAAAGAAUAGGUGUAGGCAUGUGAACAAUCACAAAAUGAAAGUAAUUUUUAUUUGCAUCACUUAAUGAAAAAGAAGAUAUAGUAAAGGAAAAACAAAAACAAUCAGAAAAGCACAAAUAAGAGAGGAAGAACAACAUACUAAGAAAAUUAUUAUGAAUUCUUGAAAUUUUUUUGCCACAUUGAACAAAUAUAUUCGCUUCUGAAGCUACAUAUAAAUUGUGGUUUAGGAAUAUUGUGGCAGAAUCACCAAAACUUGAAAUCUACAUACUCAAGAGGGUUCAAAAGAGCUGGUUCGUACCAGCCAUCAACAUGGUCUGUUGUUUAUGAUCUUUCUUCCCUAACCCAGUUUCAAAUAACAUAGCUGUAAGUUUGUAGUGAAAUGCAGUUCCCUAGCUCUCAUUGAUGCCAACUUAAUUCCUCUAGUACCAUUGGUAUUACAUGUCAAAACUAAAGAUGGCAAACAUUAAUUGUUAAAAAGGUACUUAAUUUCAUGUUAUGUAAAUUUAUUUUGUCUACUUUGAUCUUAGUUCUCUGUGUGCUUUAUUUUACAUUGCAAUAGAAGCAUGAAAAUUCUUCUAAGGGAAAAAUGUGUCUUGCUUUCCUAAAACAAAAUGAAGACAAGCAGUUAUUUAGAGCCAAAAUCUACAUGUUGCUGAUUCUCAUUUGAUUUGGUCCUUUCCAGUGUGGACUUGCCAGUGCUUGGAAUACAGAAAUACAGAUGAUGAGAGAGAAGAAAGUUAAGAAACCUUGUCCCUCUAUGGAGGACAGAUAUAAGACUCAUUGCUUUCCUGCCAGAAGACAGUGAAAAUACAUAGAGUAAUUGUAGCAGGAAUAUUCGUGUUCAGCAGAAGUAAGACAACAAGCAGUUUCCGUUUCUCUGUCCUAACUCACUCCACGACAAAAUCAUUCAGUUUCAGAUUUGAUUUAAGCAAACCAUCUCAAUGUACAUUAAUGGAGACAUAAAGCCCACACAGCCAAUUUUCAUGUGACCUCAUCAGAAUUGCAGCAUCCACUUCUAUGCACUCAGAGCACAAGAGCAUCCACCACAUUAAAUGUUUCUUAAGUGAUCAUGCAUCAGGGCUCUGGAAGCAAUUUGGCUCAUAAAUGGGGAUUUCAGGAAUAUUAGUCCUGCCUGCUGCAUCUCUUAAGCUACGCUGCGAACCUAGCUGCUUAAUAUUUAGAGGGAAAAAGACAUGCUUCAGGUCUAAAUGAAGAAGUAUUUCUGACCAGACUGAAACCUAAAGGAAUUCAAACUCUGAAAUUUACCACUAAAAGCUAUAGCCACAGUAGCACAUAAAGCUAUGUACAAUAUCCUGCACCCUAUAUUUUUAAAAUUUUAAUCACUGUCUUUCAUAAUUUAUAUAUAUCUUAUAUAUUUGGUGUAUAUCCUACCUUAUUUAGUACCCCUGUUUCCUGGGUGCAGAGACAAGGUGGUAAAGCUUUUAGUGCUGUUUUUUCAACACCAUUAACAUCACAGCAGGGAGCGGGGGUGGAACUGGAAACAGAAAGUUUGCCAUUUUUGCCUGGUUCUCUUCAGGAAGAAGGUCCCAGGUCAGCCUCAUGGAGCUAGUCCCACUGCCACCACCAGCUGCUCCUUUUUCCGUUCCUCUGAGUUGCAGUUUUUGAGGUUUGGGGCUGAAAGAUGAUGGUGAGCCCAAGAUACCACUCUGAGUAAAAGGAAAAGGAGCAAGAGUGGCAGCAGCAGUGUGAGGGCGGAGCUGUGUGGGGCCCAGGCCCCAGGAGAGCUGAGAAGAGCAUCACUAAUACUGCAGGGCUCCACAUGGAGCUGAUCCAGUGACACAGAGUGGUCGGGGGGAGCAGCACAGAUGAUCCAGGUUCCAAGAGGUUUUGUUGGCCUUAGCUUGAUGUUGUUUUUACACUGGGGUGGGUGAGUGCAAAAACACUGUGAGGCAUUAAACGGUGGAAGCUCUCCUUGAUGUUCACAUUGCUUUUGUUUUUUCUGGUACCAUUGGCCCCAGUGCAGGGCCAGCCCCCAGCUUGCCUUCGUUUGGGAAACCAUGUCAUGUGCUGUCUUUGGGAAACAUUUUUGUUUGUUUGGUGGUGAUUUUUUUUUUGUCAGUAAAACACCUUUUCUUUUUUGUACACUCUUUAUCAUUAAGAUUAUGAUUAUUGCGAUUUUAAGCAAACUGACACUCCAAUUUAUAAUCUCUCCUGGUGUUCUUCUAUUUUCAGAAGGUGCAGGGGCGAGAAGGGAUCAGCUUGAGUGGGUUUAAUGUUCUAAAUAGGAUUUAAAUCCAGCACACCCCCGUAAGAUUUUUGGAAGCAUUUUGCUGCAUUUUAUUUCAAUGCUUAUUCCAGCCAUAAAAUAACUUAAUUUUCUACAGCAUUCAUUCUCUGAAUAACAAAAUCAGCAAUUAUAGCCAUAAUAUUCAAAGUGCUUACCUUUUGGGAAUACAUUUUUGCACAAGUUUUUUUGUAUGCUGAAGACUGUAAAAAUAUUCUGAAUAUUCACAGGCAAUUUUCAUGCUUGCAUCUAAAAUAUCUGAACAACCAUUACAAAAAGGAUGAUUUGUACUUGAAGGUUUAUGAUUUUGAAAUGGAGAAAUUUUUUUUUUUCAAGGAAGUUCAAAUCAGGGUAAUAUAAGCAGACUUGAAACUCAGCCCUUACUAAAGUGCUUUUUGAAAUUCAUGUCUUGUUUUCUGCCUUCUUUUCUACCCAAAUUUUAAUUUAAUUGCUUACAUGUCUGAUGUAAAAAAGGCUUAUGUCUAAGCUGAACAAUAUAGACUCCUCAGGGACCUGUACAUGCUAUCUACUUUAGACCAAAAACUUAAAUAUAAGUGGCCCUUCAAAUAAGUGUUAGCUACUGUUUCAUAUGAAUUUUUCUCAUGAAUCUUUUAUAUAAAUUUUCUGGUUUUGCUAUUACCCCCUUUCUAAUCUUCAUUAGCCUAUUUGUUCUUAUUUGUUUGGUACUUUCAUUUUUCUUUGUUGAAUUGCAGGUCUACUAAUCAUUUUUUUAUUUUAGACUUCUGUGUUCUUUCUUUUUGACUUAACUAUGUUCUUUCUACAGUUCUGGACCUUCCCAUUUGACACACAUUAGUCUACCAAACUUCUUUAUCUUUCAUCAUCACAGUAUAGGUGAUUUAAACAAAAUAUUUAAUUUAAAAAAUUUGAAGAAUGUUAACAUUGAAGAAGAAUCCCAUGGUUAAUUGGAGGAGUUAAUUCUAAAAAAAAGCAGUAUCACGAGAGGAGGGUUUAUGUUCCCUUACUAAAAUUUUUCUAGAGUUAUCCUUGCUAAUUCCAGCUGUUUACAAGGUAUUUAUCAUGUGAAGCAUUUCACAGAAUCACAGUAUAACAGAAUGGGUAAGCAAGGUUGGUAGGGGCCAUAGGAAGUUAUCUUCUCCAACCUCCCUGUUUAAGCAAGGUCAUCCUAGAAGACAUUGCAUAAAAUUGUGUACUGCAGGCUCUUGAAUAUCUCCAGUGAUAGAGACUCCACACUGUCUCUGAACGAUCUGUUCCAGUGUACAGUCACUUGCAUGGUGGAAAAGUCUGUCCUCAUAUUCAGAUGGAACUUCCUGUGCAUCAUUUCCUGCCCAUUGCCUCUUGUCCUAUUUUUUGGCAUCACUGAGCAGAGCAUGGCUCCAUCUUCUUGGCACCCUCCCUUCAGGUACUUACAUUGAUUAGAUCCCGUCUCAGCUGUCUCUUCGUGAGGCUGAACAAGCCUAACUUUCUCAACCUUUCUUCAUAAGAGAGAUGAUCCAGUCCCUUAAUCAUCUUUGUAGCCUUUUGUAGCCUCCCUUUGUAGACCUCCAGGAGCUCCCUUGUCUCUCUUGUACUGAAGAGCCCAGAACUGGACACAGCAUUCCAGAUGCGGCCUCUGGAGAAACCCUUCUACUAGGUUAACUAGAGGGGCAGGAGCACCUCCCUCAGCUUGCUGGCAUUGCUCUUCCUAGUGUACCUCAGGAUAUCAUUGCCUUCUUGGGGCCCAUUGCUGGACAUGGAUAGUUGUCAUGGACAGUUUGUUGUCCACCAGGAUCCCCAGAUCUUUCUCUGCAGAGCUGAUAUCCAGCAGGCCAGCCCCCAGUUGAUGCUUGUGCCUGUGGUUAUCCUUCCCUAGCUACAGGACCCUGCAUUUGCCUUUGUAGAACAUCAAGGAGCUCUUCUCUGCCCAUUUCUCCAGUCUGUCAAGGACCUUCUGAAGGGCUGCACAACACUCUUGUAUCAGCCACUCCUCCCUGCUUUGUGUCAUCAGUGAACUUGCUGAGAAGGCAUCUUGCCCUUCAUGGAAGUGAAUAACAACACUGGGCCCAGUACUGAACCUUGAGGGACACCUUUAGUGACAGGCUCCCAAACAGACCCUGUGACAAUGAUUUGGACACUAUAGAAUUUGACAUCCAGACAGUUCUCAAUCCACUGCCCACUCAUCCAAUUCACACUCCCUAAAUUUGUCUAUGAGGAUUUUGUGAGAGACAGUGUGAAAGCCUUUCUAAUGUAGACAAUAUCUUUUCUAAAGGUGGACAAUUGCUCUUUCAUUAUCAUGCAGGUAGUGGUUUCAUCAUAGCAAGCUAUGAGGUUGGUCAAGCAUGAUUUAUCUUUUGUGACUCCAUUCUGGUCCUGAUCACCUCCUGUCCACAUAGAUAGAGAUGGCCUCCAGAAUGAGAUUCUCCAUCACCUUUCCAGGAACUGAGAUGGUUGGUUGUUCUCUGUGCAGUCCUUCUUGCCCUUUUUGAAGACCAGUGGCAUUUAAUUUCUUCCCAUCCUCAGGCACCUCUCCUGAACUCCAUGACCUUUCAAAGAUGAGCGACAUAAAGCCCACAAAGCCAAUUUGCUUGUGCAGCUUUGUGGUUUCCACCAGCUCUCUCAGCACUCAUGGAUGCAUUCUGUCAGGGCCCUUGGACUCAUGGAUAUCAAGUUUGCCUAGAUGACUCUAGCCUGAGUCUCCUUCAUCAGGAGUUAAGAAGAAUUGGGUUAGAGUCUGUCUGUCUUCCAAGUUUCCUUUACCCUGGUCUACUGGAUUAACAUUUUCUGAGGUAUGAUCUUGUCAGUGAAGAUUGAUGCAAAGAAAGAAUUCAGUAAGUCUGCCUCCUCUGCACCCUUUCUUACCAGGUUUCCUUCACUAGUAAUGGGUCCACAUUUACCUUUGUUUUCUUUUUAUUACUGAUGUACUUGAAAAAGUAGAUCAGUACAAAAGUACUUCUUGUUGGCCUGGAUAUCCUUGGCUAGAUUUCAUUUCAGGUGGGCCUUGACCUUUCUACUUACUCAGACAACCUCUCUAUGUUAAUUCCAAGUGAUCUGGCCCUACUUCCAUCUUCUCUGGGUUUUCUGUUUGUGUUUGAGUAAUGGCAUGAGUUCUGAUUUCAUCCACACAGGCCUCUUGCCCCUUUGUCUGAUUGGGAUACAUCAUGCUUGAGCCUGCAGGAAGUUACUCUGUCCCAUAGGAUUCUUCUAGGAAGAUUACUGAAGAGGUUAGCUCUCCUGAAGUCCAUGGUUACAAUCCUACUUGCUGCCCUGCUUCCUUCUCAUCUGAAACUGAACUCCACAUUCUCAGGUUUCCAUCAGCAGUAUCUGCCCCCAGUCCUCACUAAACACUGAGAUGAGUUCAAUUGGUUAGAGCACAGUGCUGAUAACACCAGGGCUGUGUGUUCAAUCUCUGUACAGACCAUUUACUUUCAAGUGGAACUUGGUGAUCUUUGUGGGCUCCUUCCAACUCAGGAUAAUCUCUGAUUCUCCAACAAGGCCUUCACUCUUGUUAGGGUAAGGUUAAGCAGCACAUAAUUCCUGGUGGGAUUCUCCCCUACCUGAAACAGGAAGUUGCCAUUACUGCUUUCCAGAAGCCUCCUGGAUUGCUUGUGUUUUGCAGUUCACCCUUAACUCCAGCUGAUAUAAGGGUAGUUUAGAACCAAUGUUUCUGACUUAGAGGCUGCUUUGAGCUGCCUGUAGAAGGCCUCAUCCACUUCCUUCUCUUAAUCAGGGAGCUUGUAGCACACAUUGACAACAGUGUCACCUUUACUAGUCCCCUUUUAUCCUAACCUAUAAGAUCUCUACACACUCUUCAGACACAGAGCUAAAUAUAUUUCAAGUGUCAUCUCAUGUGGAGGGCAACUCCACAGUAGGGCAUAUAAGUCUUCAUGAUAGAGCUUUCCUUUCCCAAUUCCUUAAACCAAAUCUGAAACCAAGCUAAUUACAUCUUCUGCCUGCACAUGUAUAAUCAUAAACACAAAUUUCACAUAUAUUUUGGUCUUUCAGCAGCAGUCUAAUGAACUAGGAACUUAAAACUAAUUGCUUCUACAAGGAGAUUAUGAAGAUUGAGGAAAUCACUUCAAUGGCACAUAUUGAUUUAUCUUAAGUUCAAUAAUACAGUCAUAAUUUUAAUGUGAAUAGUGCUCAGUACUUCUCUUUUUAUGUUAAGCAUGCACCAUUACUCUGACGAAAAGCAAUGAUGGCUGCAUUAACAAUGAGCAGUACUCCCUUUUGUUAAUGAUUUUAAUCAUUCUAAUAUUCAUACUACAGUUUUUGUAAUUAAUGAGAGAUAUUUUCCUUUGCUAUUACCAAAACUGAACUUUACAAUCAUGGUUUGGAUAUUAAGUUGUUUGGCUCAGAUACACAUUUCUUUGAACCUGGUAUAGCAACCCUUUAUUAUGUACACAAUACGCCUGUUCAUGUAGGUGUAAUUGUUUCAUAGCUAUAAUUUACAGAUUCACACAGAUUCAAAAUCCUCUUGCUUUUAAGCACUGUUUUUCCUGAUGUUAUUGUAAAUAUGUUUUUGUUCAUUUCUUUGAAGAGAGAGGAAGCGAAGACAUCCUUAGCAGAAAAAUUGGUCAAUCUUAUUACUUUCACCCCAGCAAGGUUACCUUAGAUUUCACCCCUUAUCAAAAUCCUUACACACUUCUUUGGGGUCUUCAAUGUUGGGUGUCCUUUUUAAGCGGCUGUUCCUUGACUCCCACUUGCGAGUAAGUGCAAUAUCAUUGUUUUGCAUAACUUCUGCUUUGUCAGGCUCACGGAGCUAAACUGGCAUCCUGCUUGCAUUUUGCCUGACUCAUAUUUGCCUGAGUUUCAUCUUUCAUCUAUUUCACCAAAAUAGAAUAGUUGUGCUGUUCUGUUCUCGUUCAACUGUCCUUAUUUGUGUCAGUCCUUCUUCCUUUCAGCAACUGUGGAGGCAUAUGUGUGUGUGUGUGGUCAGUGCUGCUGCUUGCUGCCUCCUCCCGCCACCCACUGGGCUCAGUUGGUGU